CAAAGUAUAGCUUAACUAAAAGCACUUCGCUUACACCGAAGCUAUGUUUGUGCGAAUCAAACUUCUUUGA
rnacentral:tRNA from 1 species